rnacentral:tRNA from 1 species
UGGUGCCGGACUCGGAAUCGAA